rnacentral:rRNA from 1 species
AGAGCAUACGGUGGAUGCCUUGGCGAUAUCUGCCGACGAAGGACGUGACAAGCUGCGAAAAGCUGCGGAGAGAUGCAAAUAAUCGGCGACCCGCAGACAUCCGAAUGGAGAAAUCCGGCUGUGAUGAUGCACAGCCAUCCAUGCCCAAGAGCAUGAGAAGGGAACCGGGCGAACUGAAACAUCUAAGUAACCCGAGGAAAAGAAAUCAAACGAGAUACCCCAAGUAGCGGCGAGCGAACAGGGAAGAAGCCCAAACCGGUGAAGGAAACUUUACCGGGGUUGAGGACCAUCAGACCCGCGAAGAACUUUAGCCGAAACUGUUGGGAAACAGUGCCAAAGACAGUGAAAGCCUGGUAGGCGAAAAAGAGAAACGCGGAGAUGGCACCAGAGUACCGCGGGACACGAGAAAUCCCGUGGGAAGCAGGGGGGACCACCCUCCAAGGCAAAACACAGAUAUCGACCGAUAGCGCAUAGUACCAUGAGGGAAAGGUGAAAAGCACCCCGGGAGGGGAAUGAAAGAGAACCUGAAACCGUAUGUUUACAAGCAGUCGGAGACCGCUUAAUAAUAAGGUCGACGGCGUGCCUAUUGAAGAAUGAACCGGCGAGUUACGAAGCCUGGCAAGGUUAAGCAGGAAAUGCGGAGCCGAAGCGAAAGCGAGUCUUAAGAGGGCGCAAGUCAGGAAGCGUAGACCCGAAACCACAGUGAUCUACCCAUGUCCAGGUUGAAACACAGGUAAAAAUGUGUGGAGGACCGAACCUAUAUCCGUUGAAAAGGGUUAGGAUGAGGUGUGGGUAGGGGUGAAAUUCCAAUCGAACGUGGAGAUAGCUGGUUCUCCCCGAAAUAGCUUUAGGGCUAGCCUCAGGGAAAAGAUUGCAGGCGGUAGAGCACUGAUCAGGAGAGGGACCUACCCGGUUACCAAACCCAGUCAAACUCCGAAUGGCUGCAAUCAUACCUGGGAGUCAGACUGCGACUAAUAAGGGCCGCAGUCAAAAGGGAAACAGCCCAGACCAUCAGCUAAGGUCCCCAAUGCCGUGCUAAGUGGCGAAGGAUGUGGCAUUUCAUAAACAACCAGGAUGUUGGCUCAGAAGCAGCCACCAUUUAAAGAGUGCGUAAUAGCUCACUGGUCGAGAGACGCUGCGCCGAAAAUGUCCGGGGCUCAAGCACGGAACCGAAGCUAUGGCAUGAUAGCAAUAUCAUGGGUAGGGGAGCGUUCUUAUAAGGAAGAAGCAUGACCGGAAGGACAUGUGGACGAAUAAGAAGUGAGAAUGCCGGUAUGAGUAUCGAAAAGAAAGGUGAGAAUCCUUUCCACCGAAAGCCCGAGGGUUCCUGAGCAACGAUCGUCGACUCAGGGUAAGUCGGGACCUAAGCCGAGGCGAGAAGCGUAGGCGAUGGACAACAGGUUGAAAUUCCUGUACCGGAUCAAGUCGAUCGAGCGAAGGAGCGACGCAGGAGGGCACAUGAUCGCGCGGCUGGAAGAGCGCGUCCAAGUGCGUAUGUUGCAGCAGAGGAAAACCCCUGCAGCUAAAAGCAGAGACAUGAUGGGGAGUUAAAGGAAACUUUGACGAACUCAUGGAUCCCACACUGCCAAGAAAAACUUCUAGCGAGACAAGAUCCGCCCGUACCGUAAACCGACACAGGUAGGCGGGGAGAGAAUCCUAAGGUGCGCGGGAAAACCCUCGUUAAGGAACUCGGCAAAUUGCAUCCGUAACCUAGGGAGAAGGAUGGCCCCCGGUCAGUGAAGAGCAGAAACGCUCAGAGCUAAAAGGGGCGGCAGAAAAGAGGCCCAAGCAACUGUUUACCAAAAACACAGGUGCCUGCGAAAGCGAAAGCUGAAGUAUAGGUGCUGACGCCUGCCCGGUGCCGGAAGGUUAAGGAGAGAAGUUAGCGAAAGCGAAGCAUCGAACUGAAGCCCCAGUGAACGGCGGCCGUAACUAUAACGGUCCUAAGGUAGCGAAAUUCCUUGUCGGGUAAGUUCCGACCCGCAUGAAAGGCGUAAUGAUUUGGGCACUGUCUCAACGAGGGGCCCGGUGAAAUUGAAAUACCUGUGAAGAUGCAGGUUACCCGCGACUGGACAGAAAGACCCCAUGGAGCUUCACUGCAGCUUGAGAUUGAAUCCCGGUGACAGAUGCACAGGAUAGGUGGGAGGCGCCGAAGCAUUGCCCUAGGGCGGUGCGGAGCCGAUGUUGGGAUACCACCCUUCUGUUGCUGAGAUUCUAACGCGAGGAGUAACGACCCUGCGGACCCUCUCAGGCAGGCGGUUUGACUGGGGCGGUCGCCUCCGAAAGAGUAACG